rnacentral:lncRNA from 1 species
UGCUCUCAAAUGAUGCUGACGACAAAGUGAUUCUGUUUUAUCAAACUGAAAAUCCGAAUUAUAAUGUAAAUUGUGAUCUUCGAAAUUGAGGUUAUGAAAUGGACAUAACUCUAUUUAUAAACAAUAUGAACGACCGCGUUGGAGGAUAUGAAUGCAUUGGAACCUUGACAUGUGUUUUACUGUGUUUCUCAUCACGAUAAUAGAAAAUCUAGUGCUCAAAUUCACAAUCUAAUGAACAUACAGCCAUACAAAAGAUGUCUUUAUGAGCAAUGCCUCCACUGACAAAGUGAAUUAAGUUGCCUACUCGAAAAGCAACUUUGCAAGGAAGCAAGUUUGCUACCCACUGAAAUGUUCCCUUGGUACUUGAUGGAAUUAUGUAAUGAAACUGUCAACCAUUACAAUGUGAUAAAGAUAUUCCUGAUGGCGAUGAGUGAUGACUAACUUUCAAAACUACAAAAGAUGAACCCCUUCCACUUCUAGAAUGUGAAGAAUGCUGCCAUAUUACCGGCCCAUAUGAUCAUCAUGACAACUGUCUACCGUUGUCUACCCCGAUACAAGGAAAAUUACAAAUGUGUUGCUAAGCUUAAUAUUAGAUGACUAGAAGCAGUUAGAAGAAUAAAGAAUGGUUCCGGAGUUUUACAAUGGCCGACUAACUUUUGAUGACUGAUGCAGAUGACUAUGCCAGCAAAAGAUGGAUAACAGAUGUACUUCGAAUAGCAAUAUGACUAAAGCACUGUCUUACAUGAUUAAGACUAGAAUAUUGAAUAUGUAAUUAAAGUUUAAGUUGUAAAAUGAUAAUGUGGAUUUCAUAUAUA